GACGAACGCUGGCGGCGUGCUUAACACAUGCAAGUCGAACGGGCCCGCUCUCUUUUUUGGGGGUGGGUUGAGUGGCGAACGGGUGAGUAUCACGUGAGUAACCUGCCCCCUGCUCCUGGAUAACUGCUUGAAAGGGCGGCUAAUACGGGGUGUGCCGGCUGGUCCGCAUGGGCCUGGUCGGGAUAGUUUCAUCUUCGGGUGUUUCGGUGGGGGUGGGCUCGCGGCCUUUUAGGUUGUUGGUGGGGGGAUGGCCCCCCAAGGCGGUGACGGGUAGCCGGCCUGAGAGGGUGGGCGGCCACACUGGGACUGAGACACGGCCCAGACUCCUGCGGGAGGCAGCAGUGGGGGGUAUUGCACAAUGGGCGGAAGCCGGAUGCAGCGACGUCGCGUGAGGGAUGGAGGCCGUCGGGUUGUGAACCUCUUUCUCCGGUGGUGAAGGCCCUGUCCGUUGCGGCGGGGUUGACGGUAGCCGGGUAUGAAGCGCCGGCUAACUACGUG
rnacentral:rRNA from 1 species